ACAAGAACAACAAUGACUUUCAGCAUCAUCUUCAUCUGGACACUCACAGUGUUUGCUCAAGAGUGUAGAGGACAGUACACUGUUACUCAGAGUCCAUCAAUAACAGCAGUUCAACCAGGACAAAGUGUUCAAAUAAACUGUAAAGUCAGCAGUGCAGUGUAUAGUACUUACUUACACUGGUACUUACAGAAACCUGGAGAAGCUCCUAAACUCCUCAUAUAUAACACCAAUAGCCUCUACACUGGAGUAUCAUCUAGAUUCAGUGGCAGUGGAUCAAACACAGAUUUUACUCUGAGCAUCAGUGGAGUUCAGACUGAAGAUUCAGGAGAUUAUUACUGUCAGAGUGUUCACUAUCCUAAUAGUAAAUGGGUGUUGACACAGUGAUAAAGAGUCGUACAAAAACCUCCGUCAGUCAGACUGAACAGUGACUGCACUGAUACACCUGACACAUACUGCAGCUGAUCAUACAACACAAACACACAAAACACUGAUCACAAAUAUAGAUUUUUUUGUAGUUA